rnacentral:rRNA from 1 species
GUGCAGCAGGCGAGAAAACUUUACAAUGCUGGAAACAGCGAUAAGGGGACCUCGAGUGCCAGGUUACAAAUCUGGCUGUCGUGAUGCCUAAAAAGCAUUGCAUAGCAAGGGCCGGGCAAGACCGGUGCCAGCCGCCGCGGUAACACCGGCGGCUCGAGUGGUAACCGUUAUUAUUGGGUCUAAAGGGUCUGUAGCCGGCCGGAUAAGUCUCUUGGGAAAUCUGGCAGCUUAACUGUCAGGCUUUCAGGAGAUACUGUCUGGCUCGAGGCCGGGAGAGGUGAGAGGUACUUCAGGGGUAGGGGUGAAAUCUUGUAAUCCCUGAAGGACCACCAGUGGCGAAGGCGUCUCACCAGAACGGACCUGACGGCAAGGGACGAAAGCUAGGGGCACGAACCGGAUUAGAUACCCGGGUAGUCCUAGCCGUAAACGAUACUCGCUAGGUGUCGGCAACGGUGCGACCGUUGUCGGUGCCGUAGGGAAGCCGUGAAGCGAGCCACCUGGGAAGUACGGCCGCAAGGCUGAAACUUAAAGGAAUUGGCGGGGGAGCAC